CCAGAAGCGGCAGUGGGCUCCAGAGGUGGGGGGGGGCCCGGCCCGGCCCGGCCCAGCCGCGGAGUCCGGAGGCAGUGGCGGGCCCGGCCCGGUGGUGGAGGCAAGACCCGAAAGGGGGAGAAGAAAGUGGGGGCAGAAGUGGAAGUGGGGAGGAGAGGCGUCUGAGCCCGGCACAGGCCAGCCAUGGUCAGGAAGCGGAGACUGGGCAGAAGGUGGGGGGAAGAGGUAAUAUGUGAAGAGUCAUUCAGCAUCUGAUGCCUGUUCAAAGAUAAGAUGAAACAUGUACAAGUGACUUUUCUGUAAUGCAAGCUCAUAACUCUGAAGUUCCUUUGGCAACUUAAGAGCUUUAAAAAAUGAACAGAACUCACUGGGAACCAUCAAGGAAACCAACCAACCAACCAACCAACCAUGAGCAAGUCGCAGUCUUCAUACCGUGCUUGCAAGCUUUCCAAAGGCAUCUAGCUGGUUAUUGUGGGAAUCAGAUGUUCAACUUGAUUAACUUUGACCUCAUCCAGCAAUUAUGUUUUUGGUUUUUUUUGAAAAUAAUGCAACAAUUGUUAAUUGUGACCAACAGGCAUAAUUUUGGUCUUGA